CCUGGCGGCACUAGCGCGGUGGUCCCACCUGACCCAUGCCGAACUCAGAAGUGAAACGCCGUAGCGCCGAUGGUAGUGUGGGGUCUCCCCAUGCGAGAGUAGGGAACUGCCAGGC
rnacentral:rRNA from 4 species